UACGAAGGGGGCUAGCGUUGCUCGGAAUGACUGGGCGUAAAGGGCGCGUAGGCGGUGGACACAGUCAGGCGUGAAAUUCCCGGGCUCAACCUGGGGGCUGCGCUUGAGACGUGCGAUCUUGAGUGGGGAAGAGGGUCGUGGAAUUCCCAGUGUAGAGGUGAAAUUCGUAGAUAUUGGGAAGAACACCGGUGGCGAAGGCGGCGACCUGGUCCUUGACUGACGCUGAGGCGCGAAAGCGUGGGGAGCAAACAGG
rnacentral:rRNA from 1 species